rnacentral:rRNA from 1 species
CGCGUAGGUGGUUUGUUAAGUUGGAUGUGAAAGCCCCGGGCUCAACCUGGGAACUGCAUCCAAAACUGGCAAAGCUAGAGUACGGUAGAGGGUGGUGGAAUUUCCUGUGUAGCGGUGAAAUGCGUAGAUAUAGGAAGGAACACCAGUGGCGAAGGCGACCACCUGGACUGAUACUGACACUGAGGUGCGAAAGCGUGGGGAGCAAACAG